rnacentral:rRNA from 1 species
GACGAACGCUGGCGGCGUGCUUAACACAUGCAAGUCGAACGGAAAGACCCUGCUUUUGUGGGGUGCUCGAGUGGCGAACGGGUGAGUAACACGUGAGUAACCUGCCCUUGACUUUGGGAUAACUUCAGGAAACUGGGGCUAAUACCGGAUAGGAGCUCCUGCUGCAUGGUGGGGGUUGGAAAGUUUCGGCGGUGGGGGAUGGACUAGCGGGUUAUCAGCUUGUUGGUGGGGUAGUGGCUUACCAAGGCUUUGACGGGUAGCCGGCCUGAGAGGGUGACCGGCCACAUUGGGACUGAGAUACGGCCCAGACUCCUACGGGAGGCAGCAGUGGGGAAUAUUGCACAAUGGGCGGAAGUCUGAUGCAGCAACGCCGCGUGCGUGAUGACGGCCUUCGGGUUGUAAACCGCUUUCGCCUGUGACGAAGCGUGAGUGACGGUAAUGGGUAAAGAAGCACCGGCUAACUACGUG